CCCUUAGAUGUUCGGGGCCGCACGCGCGCUACACUGAAGGAAUCAGCGUGUGUUUACCCUGGUCCGGAAGGAUCGGGUAACCCGUUGAACCUCCUUCGUGCUAGGGAUUGGGGCUUGUAAUUCUUCCCCAUGAACGAGGAAUUCCCAGUAAGCGCGAGUCAUAAGCUCGCGUUGAUUACGUCCCUGCCCUUUGUACACACCGCCCGUCGCUACUACCGAUUGAAUGGUCCGGUGAAAUCUUCGGACUCUGUGUUUAUUGAUUAGUUUCAAUUUACUACUGGAGAAAGUUGAGUAAACCUUAUCACUUAGAGGAAGGAGAAGUCGUAACA
rnacentral:rRNA from 1 species